rnacentral:rRNA from 1 species
GACGAACGCUGGCGGCGUGCUUAACACAUGCAAGUCGAGCGGUAAGGCCCUUUCGGGGGUACACGAGCGGCGAACGGGUGAGUAACACGUGGGUGACCUGCCCUCAGCUCUGGGAUAAGCCUGGGAAACUGGGUCUAAUACCGGAUAUGACUCCAUGACGCAUGUUGUGGGGUGGAAAGCCUUGUGCGGCUGAGGAUGGGCCCGCGGCCUAUCAGCUUGUUGGUGGGGNGAUGGCCUACCAAGGCGGCGACGGGUAGCCGGCCUGGGAGGGCGACCGGCCACACUGGGACUGAGACACGGCCCAGACUCCUACGGGAGGCAGCAGUGGGGAAUCUUGCGCAAUGGGCGAAAGCCUGACGCAGCGACGCCGCGUGA